UACGGGGGGAGCAAACGUUGUUCGGAAUCACUGGGCGUAAAGGGCGUGUAGGCGGCUGAAUAAGUGGGAUGUUAAAUCCCCCGGCUCAACCGGGGACCUGCAUCUCAUACUGUUCAGCUCGAGCACAUCAGAGGAGACUGGAAUUCCCGGUGUAGCGGUGAAAUGCGCAGAUAUCAGGAAGAACACCCGUGGCGAAGGCGGCUCUCUGGGACGGUACUGACGCUGAGACGCGAAAGCGUGGGGAGCGAACAGG
rnacentral:rRNA from 1 species